CCUACGGGAGGCAGCAGUGGGGAAUAUUGCACAAUGGGGGAAACCCUGAUGCAGCGACGCCGCGUGAGUGAAGAAGUAUUUCGGUAUGUAAAGCUCUAUCAGCAGGGAAGAAGAAAGACGGUACCUAACUAAGAAGCCCCGGCUAACUACGUACCAGCAGCCGCGGUAAUACGUAGGGGGCAAGCGUUAUCCGGAUUUACUGGGUGUAAGGGGAGCGUAGACGGCUGUGCAAGUCUGAAGUGAAAGCCCAGGGCUCAACCCUGGGACUGCUUUGGAAACUGUGGAGCUAGAGUGCUGGAGAGGUAAGUGGAAGUCCUAGUGUAGCGGUGAAAUGCGUAGAUAUUAGGAGGAAAACCAGUGGCGAAGGCGGCUUACUGGACAGUAACUGACGUUGAGGCUCGAAAGCGUGGGGAGCAAACAGGAUUAGAUACCCCUGUAGUC
rnacentral:rRNA from 1 species